UAUGUUAAUGUUGUGCGUUUUUGUUUGAAUUUUCACAUUUCAAACAUGUUCUUUUAUGUUUUUGGUUGGUAUAUUUGAUAUUUUCUGUUUUUCACUCUUUAAUCGAUUGAGAGUUCAAUACAAUCUGAUUCUUUAUGUGAGGUUUAUUAUUGUGAUAAGGCCGGAGACAUCACAGACGCGGGACAAAGGAAAACACGCCUCAUUGUUUUAAAAUCCGUUUCCUAAAUUGGUCUAUCUAUACCAAAGUUAGUAUAGAGUAUAGACCGACGUUGACCUAUAUUACAUUGACGGUAUCUAUAGCGGAAUACGAUACGAAAAAGGCACGCGUGUACGGUUCGGUGCACACAUACGUGUCGGGUUGCCACAAUCCACUAAUUAAGAAUAUAUUUUAUAACAGUGGUUUAUAACCUAUGAGUAAUUAAUUUCCGGAUAGCAGAUGGGUGAUCAGCUGAACCAGACUAUUUAAAACUAUAAGUGUAACAAACAGUGUCACAGCUAUAACUGCUCUGUGAAUCAGCAUUUCCAAGCGUCGUUGCUUUGAAAUCAAAAUCCCGAAACAAGCUGUUAGAUCUAGGAUUUGCGUUGUGCAGUACCCAAAAUCGCACCCAAUAUUGCAUCGAUUGUACA